rnacentral:rRNA from 1 species
AUUGAACGCUGGCGGCAGGCUUAACACAUGCAAGUCGAACGAUGAUUAUCUAGCUUGCUAGAUAUGAUUAGUGGCGGACGGGUGAGUAACAUUUAGGAAUCUGCCUAGUAGUGGGGGAUAGCUCGGGGAAACUCGAAUUAAUACCGCAUACGACCUACGGGUGAAAGGGGGCGCAAGCUCUUGCUAUUAGAUGAGCCUAAAUCAGAUUAGCUAGUUGGUGGGGUAAAGGCCCACCAAGGCGACGAUCUGUAACUGGUCUGAGAGGAUGAUCAGUCACACCGGAACUGAGACACGGUCCGGACUCCUACGGGAGGCAGCAGUGGGGAAUAUUGGACAAUGGGGGCAACCCUGAUCCAGCCAUGCCGCGUGUGUGAAGAAGGCCUUUUGGUUGUAAAGCACUUUAAGCAGGGAGGAGAGGCUAAUGGUUAAUACCCAUUAGAUUAGACGUUACCUGCAGAAUAAGCACCGGCUAACUCUGUGCCAGCAGCCGCGGUAAUACAGAGGGUGCGAGCGUUAAUCGGAAUUACUGGGCGUAAAGCGAGUGUAGGUGGCUCAUUAAGUCACAUGUGAAAUCCCCGGGCUUAACCUGGGAACUGCAUGUGAUACUGGUGGUGCUAGAAUAUGUGAGAGGGAAGUAGAAUUCCAGGUGUAGCGGUGAAAUGCGUAGAGAUCUGGAGGAAUACCGAUGGCGAAGGCAGCUUCCUGGCAUAAUAUUGACACUGAGAUUCGAAAGCGUGGGUAGCAAACAGGAUUAGAUACCCUGGUAGUCCACGCCGUAAACGAUGUCUACUAGCCGUUGGGGUCCUUGAGACUUUAGUGGCGCAGUUAACGCGAUAAGUAGACCGCCUGGGGAGUACGGCCGCAAGGUUAAAACUCAAAUGAAUUGACGGGGGCCCGCACAAGCGGUGGAGCAUGUGGUUUAAUUCGAUGCAACGCGAAGAACCUUACCUGGUCUUGACAUAGUGAGAAUCCUGCAGAGAUGCGGGAGUGCCUUCGGGAAUUCACAUACAGGUGCUGCAUGGCUGUCGUCAGCUCGUGUCGUGAGAUGUUGGGUUAAGUCCCGCAACGAGCGCAACCCUUUUCCCUAUUUGCCAGCGGGUUAAGCCGGGAACUUUAAGGAUACUGCCAGUGACAAACUGGAGGAAGGCGGGGACGACGUCAAGUCAUCAUGGCCCUUACGACCAGGGCUACACACGUGCUACAAUGGUAGGUACAGAGGGUUGCUACACAGCGAUGUGAUGCUAAUCUCAAAAAGCCUAUCGUAGUCCGGAUUGGAGUCUGCAACUCGACUCCAUGAAGUCGGAAUCGCUAGUAAUCGCAGAUCAGAAUGCUGCGGUGAAUACGUUCCCGGGCCU